rnacentral:tRNA from 1 species
GGGGUUGUAGCUCAGUGGUAGAGCACUUGUCUCUCAUGCACUGGGUUCGAUCCUCAGCACCA